CGCCCCGCGCUUCGGCCCCGCCCCCGCGCCCGGUUUGACGAGUCGUCAUGGCGCGGUGGGCAGGUGGUGCUUCCUGCUGGCGGCUGAGGCUUGGUGCGUUUCCUCCUCCCGCGCGGGGCUCUGGAGCUCCUGUAAAUGCUCAACUCUGCUUACUCUGUGAAUCACUAAGGGACUCUAAAAUACCUUGAAGGUUCUGGCCAACUCCUGAAGAAUAUAGCAUCGAGGAUGGCCAGGGACUCAAGACCAAGCCAUUGCAGGUAUGCGGCAGACGUGAAGUACAAAGGCACACCGUACAGAGUGAGCUUAGGUCUUCAGGAAGAAAGUCUGUAUUAGUAUGUCCUUAAUAGCUACAACUACUCCAAGCUACUGUCUCUGUAUUCUAAGUGGAGUAAUCACUGAGCUCCAUAAAUUGCUAGGAGUUAUAUCAGAAACUGCACAAAAGCUGCACUCUGAUACCUAGAUCUCCAACCUAUUUCCUCAAGCUUACCAGAGUGAUUCAGCUAUGUUUAGUUUUAGUUAACUUACAUCGAGUUCUUCUUUUGAUUCUAACAGCCUUUCAUGGUCUGCACAAUCCACCAGAAAUACAAUGCCAUUGAUAGCAGGAAGGUAGUUUUUCCACACUCUUCGAGCUAACAAAAACAAUCAGGAGUUAGAUUUUAUUUGCUGGUCAAACCUAGCAGAUAAGGUUUGAUGGAAGAGUCCAACAAGAUAUCAAGUAUAAUUAUCCCUUAGUGGCUACCACUUCACUAUAUACUCAAGUUAAUCUUUAACCCAGGGUUGCCAAAUCUUUCCAGAAGACCAAGGAAGGCUUUCCUUGAUGGGAACAAGUCAAAUAUUUUACUCUGCCCCAAUUCUCCCAAGUUCAAAGUGGAAUUAUUAUUUGCUACCAAUGGACGAUGAUACACAUUAAGUUCACUGAAUGACUAUUACUAUUUUAAAAUUUUAUUUAUUUAUAUGCAGUAUUUGUUUUUUGACGUUUCAAGUUUAUCAGUUUUUUUUUGCCACUGAUAUAUUCGGAGUCAGUGAAAGAGAAAAUUAGUGGGUACAGAUUUGUUAAGUUAAAAUAAUAAAAGCAAACUGUUAUAACAGAAAUUAACUAAGGUCAAUGAAACCAUUAGAGUAAUUUUUUUCCAAGACAUUAUUUUUAGAAAAGUUUGAGGGGUGCCUUAGGAGUAGGCAACUUUUUUCUGACUUCAGUUUUAUAUCUUAAAUAUAACACAGAAAUGAAGUCUCAGACAAACUGUAUUAGGUUCCAGUUCUCUCUAACCAUUAAACUCUGGAAAGUACUUCAUAUAUAUUUCAAAGAAUGAUUGUCUCAAGUGUGCAUUCACUAACCACAACUACUCAAAAUCUUUUCAACUCUUUGUCAUAGGGCCCUGAAGGUGGGUUACUUGUGUGCAGAUGGGGAUAGCAUGAACAAAAGCACAGAGUGGGGAGCACACCAAGGUUUGGUUUGGUUGGAGUACAGAGAAUAGGAAAGGGAAGAGUGGAAAUUAAAUAAAAUGGGAUCAGAUUACAAGAAUCCCAAACGCCACAUCAAUGAGUUUGGCUUCCAUGUUGUAGGUCAGCCACUGAAGGUUUUUAAUACAGAACAGUAACAUCAUAAUAUGAUUAUGACAAUCAGUGAGAUGUGGAUUGGAGCAGAAAAUAGAGGCUAAAUUUUGCUUACAUGCUUUACACCAAAAGCAAUUCAGAGUUAAAUUGCUCAGGAGUAUUAUGAAAAUCACUUUGGUUUAAAGCUUAUCUGAUGGUAAUAAUUCUUUUUUAGUCUAUUCUGGCUUUCCUUUAAUAGAAUGAGAUUUCACGCACAGGAAAAUAAUAACCACAUUUUUAUUAAGCUAAUUAAAAUAAAGCAACUAUAAGAGUAAUAGUAUCUUACCUUGAACAUGUCCACCCAAAUCAAAAGUUGUAAAGGUCAUGCCAGCAAUGGUUAACUCUUCUGAAGCUAAAUAAUAAUAUAAAAUAUUUUUACAACAAGAAAAUCAUCUGAUUUUCCAUUCAUGGUUAUGUACUGCUAUUUAAUGUUUGACUUUAACCGCAAAUAAGUUCAAAUCAAACAUUUAGGAAUUGAUAAAAGAAUGUUGUAAUUAGAUAUUCUCUAAUUUAUAUUGACAACAUAACACAAAUAAUGGUAAUAUUCUCGAAUUCACUAUCCAUCACAAAUCUGACAUUCAUUUUUCCUUCUCUAUUUCCCCUGCUGAAAAUACUAACUAUUCAGAUAACCAUUUGGUGUGAAUUCAAGUAACUGCUGUAAUCUAAUAAUUUUUCUGAUAAUGCAUCUUAGCUGAUACCAGGAAAAUAAUUUUCUCCCAUGCCUGUCAUAUUAGCAAGGGACAGUCUUUAGUGACACAGUUGCAAUACAGAUUUUUUGCCAUGAUACCUUCAAAUUUUUUUCUGCUCCCUCCCUUCUUCUUCUAGGACUUCAAGUAUAGGUUGGCUGGACUGCUUAGCAUUGUCCCACAAGUCACUGAGUAUCUGUUCUUUUUUUUUUUCUUUCCAUUUUUCUCUCAGUGCUUCAUUUUACAUAGUUUCUAUUAUAUUGACUUAAGUUCACUGGUCUUUCCUUCUGUAGUACUAGCACUAUUUUGCUGUUAAUCCUAUGUAAUGAAAAUCUCAUUUCAGUCAUUAUACUUUUCAUUUCUAGAAGUUCGACUUGGUUCUGUCUUCUAUAUUCCAUUUCUUUCCUCAUUCUGUUCAUGUUUUCCUUCAGUCCUUGAGCACAUUCAUCAUAGCUCUUUUGGCAUCCUCAUCUGCUAAUUCCAUCAUCUUAGUCCCUUCUGAGUCUGUUUCUACUGAUUUUUCUCCUGGCUGUGGAUCACACUAUCUUGCUUCUUUGCAUGCCUAGUAAUUUUUUACUAGAUGCUGGAUUUUGUUGUAGUCUUUUGAUGUAAAGUGAACUUUGUUCUGGCAGGCAGUUCAACUGCUUUCAGAUCAGUUUUUGAGUUUCAUUAGGUUACAAUAGCCUUUACAGGUACUUCAGCCCCAUUACUAAGGUAUGAUCCUUCUGGAGUCUCUAUUGAACGCCUUAUGUAUCCAACCAGAUCUCUCCCUUCUGGCUGGUGGGAACAUGAAUGAUUCCUGGGCCCAGUUUGCUCUGAGAAUUAUUUGGUUAACAACUCUGCUACAAUUACUCUUUCUCCAGAAAGUAUUCCUUGACUGGCCAUGGGGAGUUUUACCCUCUGCAUAGAUUGGUAUUUAGCCAUGAACAUUUUUACAGUUCUUUGUGUAUAGAGCUUCUUCCUCUUUAGUACUAUGCCAAGCAAAUUCGCAUCACUUCAGUCUCCCUUUAUUCUGGUCUCUGUCUCCUCAACUCAGCAAGACCACUGUGUUAUGUUUAGGUUUCUUCUCCCUGCACCAUGGUCUGAAGAUGACCUCCUCUGUGAUAAAACUUGAAUAAAGAAAGGUUUGUUUUCCUUCUCUCAGGAAUUGUAGUCCUGUGCUAUUGUCCAGUUCCGAAAAUAGUAUAUAUGUUUGUCCAGUUCUCUAGCUGCUUACAGUAGGAGGGUAAUUCCAGAUGCUCUUACUGCCCCACAGCCAAAAGCAGAAGUCCCCCACAAUUAUAAUGAAAGGUUCAGUGUAAUUUUAACUAUUCAUAACAAUUGUUGAGGCCCCAGAGUAGUUUCUUGUUAAAAAAUUCUUCAUGUAGGGGUGCUUGGGUGGCUCAGUCAGUUAAGCAUCUGGCUUUGGCUCAGGUCAUGAUCCUGGGGUCCUGGGAUCAAGCCCCAUAUUUCGCUCCCCCUCUCCUUGCCUCCCCCUCGUGUUCUCUCACUUGAAUAAAUAAAUAAAAUAUUUUUAAAAGUAUACUUUAAAAUAUAUUUUAAAAAAUAUU